GGGUGAGUAACGCGUAUCCAACCUGCCCACCACUUGGGGAUAACCUUGCGAAAGUAAGACUAAUACCCAAUGAUAUCUCUAGAAGACAUCUGAAAGAGAUUAAAGAUUUAUCGGUGAUGGAUGGGGAUGCGUCUGAUUAGCUUGUUGGCGGGGUAACGGCCCACCAAGGCAACGAUCAGUAGGGGUUCUGAGAGGAAGGUCCCCCACAUUGGAACUGAGACACGGUCCAAACUCCUACGGGAGGCAGCAGUGAGGAAUAUUGGUCAAUGGACGAGAGUCUGAACCAGCCAAGUAGCGUGCAGGAAGACGGCCCUAUGGGUUGUAAACUGCUUUUAUAAGGGAAUAAAGUUAGUCUCGUGAGACUUUUUGCAUGUACCUUAUGAAUAAGGACCGGCUAAUUCCGUGCCAGCAGCCGCGGUAAUACGGAAGGUCCGGGCGUUAUCCGGAUUUAUUGGGUUUAAAGGGAGCGUAGGCCGGAGAUUAAGCGUGUUGUGAAAUGUAGACGCUCAACGUCUGCACUGCAGCGCGAACUGGUUUCCUUGGGUACGCACAAAGUGGGCGGAAUUCGUGGUGUAGCGGUGAAAUGCUUAGAUAUCACGAAGAACUCCGAUUGCGAAGGCAGCUCACUGGAGCGCAACUGACGCUGAGGCUCGAAAGUGCGGGUAUCGAACAGGAUUAGAUACCCUGGUAGUCCGCACGGUAAACGAUGGAUGCCCGCUGUUGGUCUGAAUAGGUCAGCGGCCAAG
rnacentral:rRNA from 1 species